rnacentral:lncRNA from 1 species
UUUCCGAUUAAUGAAAUUUCCCUUCUUUUGAUUUAAAAAAUAAAUAAAAAAUCAAUGGUGCAGUGAUAUUAAUUUAGAGUUUUUAAAGAUAGUAAAAAACCCUAAACCAAUUUAAUAAUAAUAAUAAAAUAUAUUUAUUUAACUUAAUUAUGAGUUUAAAAAUUUAUUCUAUUAAAAAAAAGAGGAAAAAAAAAAGGAGAGGCAACAUGUAAGUAAGCCUUUGUUCUGCCCUCCAUUCUUCCCCCCUUUCCUCUUUCUCUUCAAAAAAAUCUGAUUUUGGGAUGAGUUGUUCAUCUAUUGGAGGUGAGUCACCUAGUCUAGGCUAAAGAUAUUAAUUUCUUAAACUAAGAUAAGAUUGGGGAUGAAGAAAAUGGAAUUUGGGUGGGGAAAAGAAUGGAGAAUAGGCGGAAGAGAAGAAAAAAUCUAUAAGGUGAGUCAAUUUCGAAUUUGUGAUUUUUUUAACUUGGUGUUUGUAUGUUUCUAGUUCCUUAAAGAGUAUUUUGAGUCAUUUGAGAGAUGAGAAAAUUGAAUUGGAAGAGGUUGAAUUUCUAUUUUCGGGUUGGGUGGAUAGAGCAAUUUUUCAAGUGUGGGUGUUGUUGAUUUUGGUUUCAUUUUGGGUUUUUGAUGAGUUCUAUGAUAGGUAUGAAGUUUAGAAGAGUUUUUGACAGCCUUAGAAACAAUCUGGAGAUGUUAGAAUGGUUGGAAACAACUUUGAACCAAAUAUGGAAAUUUGCAGUCUGUGAGCCUCACUUUGGCUCUCUUUUUCUCCCAAUCUUUUGAGUGUUUAAGGAAGCCAUUUGUUAGGUUUUAAACUAGACUUGGCGAGGAACAAAACACAAUUAGUUUCGUCGAAUUUGGUUGAGCUUUGAUAUGUCAAACACAUGUGCAAAGUUAAGAAAAAAAUCUGUUUUCUGCAGAAAAAUCAGCAACGAGUCCAACUUUGGAGCUAGUUUUCUCCUUCAUUUUAGCUCCAUUUUGAGUGUAGUUUGUUGAGUUAGAAACUAGAGAUAUUAAGCUUCGAAAUCACUACAAGUUGCCCAUUUUCGUUAAGGUUUGCUUGGUCAAAAUGUCUCACAAAGUCUAGGAUUUAAUCUGGAAAAACAGGGGAAGUUGCAGGAUUUUUUGAAGACGAUGAACAGUAAUCGGAAACAAGCCCACUCGCGGUUCCGGCGAGUGGCGGCGCGUGGUAUAUAUUAUUGUUAUUAUCUGUAUUAUUAUUCAGCAAAGCUAAAUGAUAUUUGCGCUGCAUUACAUAUGCAUCAUAAAUACAGUGGUGUUAAGGGUGUGUGUGUCGUUUGACGUGUAUCUAAGGGAUGGGAGAAGGCCUUAGAUAUAUCUGAGUGAGUAAAAAUGUAGAAAAAAUUCAAGUGACAGAAGCAUGGCUUGAAUAUAAUGAGAUGAUGGGAGCAGGGACUCUAAUGAAAAGUGAAAGUUGAGAAAUUCGUAAGCAAAAGAAAACUAGGUUAAGGGACGGAUGAGCGCUAGUUCAUAUUUUAGGGUAUUCGGAGCCACAUUGGUAAAAUGCAUGGUAAGGGACAUACGGCUUUUGCCUAAGGUCUGAAUUAGUGGGAUUAGAAGGAAGUGAGUUCAUGGCAUCACUGCAUAUACAAAUUUAUUUAUCUUAUAUGGUUGCAUAAUUUCUGUAUUUUGUGUUGUUUGAUGCAUAACACUUUAAUUAACUGUAAUAGUAGACCUUGAGGGGUUUGAUGGUACUCUAUUGGGCAUUAGAAUGCUUAUACCCUAAUAGAUUGUGCAGGAUUCAAAGCGAAGUUUGAGGAAGCAGGUUUCAACUAUGCUACUAGGCUUUUGUUGUUGAUUUGUGUAAUUAACUUUUGUAAGCAGUCAACGGUUUGAUAAAGAUCUUAGUGUGUAAUUAACUACGAGUUACUACGACUCUGAUUCUGUGUUGUUAAGUAAAUUUUGUAUUUAUUUGUGACUCUUUUUCUCAUUAUAUCAUGGUUGUAUGAUUUUAUUCUUAUGACUAUAGUAUGACUCACACCCUGAUUCGGGAAUAUUCCUUAUUUUCGAAUCGAGUCGUGACCCCGCCUGAGGGUCGGUGGCUUCCUCAUCUUCCAUCUUUCUCUCCUCCUCUCCCUUUCUCCUUUCCUAGUUUUCUUUCUCUCUCCUCUUCUCUCCCCAGAUUUAUUUGGAUCUUGGGUCCUUUGCCUAAAUCUAUCUGGAUCUUGUCUUUCAUUUGUUUAUUUGAGUGUUUUCUGUUGUAGGUCCUUGGUGACUUUUUUUGUUCUUGGAUGUUUCUUGUUGUCGUUGGGAUGGUUGCUGUGUGAUGCUGUCGACCAAGUUUUUUGCUUUGUUUUUCAUUGUGUUUUUUAAGCAAGUAUUGUAAUCCAACCUUGAUGCCAUGAUUUUGUUGCAGCUUUUGGUCCACUCACAUGAAUUUUUCUCAAGUUCAGUGUUUGGAGUUGGAAAAGUGAUUGUUGCUGGCUUGUGUGGGAUCGGAUUUUACCUGUGCAAAAUAAGAGGUUAAGCCAUGUUGGUGCUACAAGUCUUUUGGUUUGCUGGAAAAGAUGUGGUGCGACGUCCUUGUUUAUGUGUUUAUUUUAGUGUAAUAAUUCUCAGAAACUCAGUAGGAGUUUGCUGAUGUUUGUAUUUAUUGCUCGAUUUUUCGAUGCGAAUUUUUCGUUACUGUCGUUGUGCGGUGGAUC